rnacentral:rRNA from 1 species
GACGAACGCUGGCGGCGUGCCUAAUACAUGCAAGUAGAACGCACAGUUUAUACCGUAGCUUGCUACACCAUAAACUGUGAGUUGCGAACGGGUGAGUAACGCGUAGGUAACCUGCCUGGUAGCGGGGGAUAACUAUUGGAAACGAUAGCUAAUACCGCAUAAUAUUGAUUAUUGCAUGAUAAUUGAUUGAAAGAUGCUAUUGCAUCACUACCAGAUGGACCUGCGUUGUAUUAGCUAGUAGGUGAGGUAACGGCUCACCUAGGCGACGAUACAUAGCCGACCUGAGAGGGUGAUCGGCCACACUGGGACUGAGACACGGCCCAGACUCCUACGGGAGGCAGCAGUAGGGAAUCUUCGGCAAUGGACGAAAGUCUGACCGAGCAACGCCGCGUGAGUGAAGAAGGUUUUCGGAUCGUAAAGCUCUGUUGUAAGAGAAGAACGGGUGUGAGAGUGGAAAGUUCACACUGUGACGGUAUCUACCAGAAAGG